AUGAGGAGGUUUUUGGUUUCUAGAACAAGUAUUGAGAAUGUGAAUAUUGUGCAACCGGAAGCCGGAGUAGAAGAAACACCGCCUAAUGUGGUCAAUGAGUUUAAUCCAAAUGAGAUUGUGCGUGAUCCAGGAUGUAGGAAACAAAUUCAUGAGUAUGCCCUGAAUAUUCAAGACCAAGUGAAGAGAGCAUAUAUAUUGAAGGGUUCAACGCAACCAGAUUUAACAACAUUUCCUCGUACUCAAUUUGGGAAGUCUUCAAGAGUAUUUUGUAAAGCAUGGUAUAAGAAUUAUACAUAG